GGUCAUGGCUCAGUGGUAGAGCACUUGCCUAGCAUGUGUGAGGCACUGGGUUCAACUCUCAGCACCA
rnacentral:tRNA from 1 species